UGUGGUUUCUGGCAGCUAGUGUGAGGUGUUCAUUGCAGAAAACUACCAGCCAACAGAAAUUAACCAUCAUACAUGACUUUAUGGCCUUGACCUUCAAUUACAUCAGCUGCACUGUAUGAAAGCUUGACGGCGAUUGGCUGCUCGUCGUGGCAACAUUGGGGCGCCAGAAAGCUUGCUUCUGAUUCUACAGUUCAAAAUGAAGUUUUGCUGACGAGGAGCACGCACGCGGGAGGCAGCACCGGCUUUUGGCAGACAGAGGACAGAAAAUAAAGUGACUUACUUGGCUGGGGUUUAAAUAUAUUCUUCAGAGGACAAAGAAUCGGUUUAUUAGUGAUUACCGGAACGAACUGAUGUGUUAUGAGUAACCUGCAGCGAUGCAGCUGUGUGCCAUACUGACCUAGCUGCGCUAACGCUACACAGAGCAAUGAGGACAAACACCCACUUUGUGCCAGAUAAACAGAUUAUAGUAACCACACAGUGUAGUUUUCACUCAACAGUGCACUUUAAUAGUUUAAAACGCACUUACGAAUAUUGUUUACUACAAGCAGCAGUAGCAGGAACCUGUGGCAAGGGCAGUCAUGAAAGAAAUAGCUCUGUUUAUUAACUUAUUUAUUGGUUUGUCUUGCCACUCUAAAUUACAUAUAGAAUGUGAAACUUUUACUAUUUUGCCUAAUUAUGGAUUGAAUUUCACCUUGGCUCCAGAAGUACCAAAGAAAAGGCGACAGGACCAGCCAACCUUGUCCAGAUUCUUUCCAGGUUUGGCAAGAAAGGUGUCCAGACGAGGAGAGAUUGUGGAUACACAGCUGAGUGAUGGCUUUUAUUAAACAACAGAGAGUAAAAGACCCAUGAAGACAGCAAAACCAUCAAAACUAUAGGACCUGGACAACUAACCAUGCCACUGACGAAUCUCAGGCUGCUAUAGGAAGAUCUUUAGAGGUCAAAUGUCCUGGGAGCUGAGGUUGAUACCAAACAUGCAUUGAGGAAACAAAAAAGAGUUUUCAUGGUAAAAUAUUAUUAUGCAGUUUAUUGUUGCUGAAAACAGCUGAAAAUAUUCUGGCUAUAAAAUUCAUUCUUGUUUUUGGCAGCUUGGGUUCCUUUCCGCUGUCACCUCUGACUUGCUUAACCAAUAAACACCCAUAUUUCUAUGAUGCUGCUAUGUGACAUUUUUAAUCAUCAAAUGUGCUGUACAAAUAAAAUUGAAUUAAUAUA